AUCGAGCAGAUUUACAAGUAGGAGGAUGGUGUUUGGUCUUACUCUAAAGUUACUGCUAGAAAGACUGUAGAUAACAACGAAAUUGAGGAAGAUGAUGAUAAUCAUCGUGAAAAUAAGUCAAAAACGGUGCAUGACAUAUCAAAGAAAGUGAAGAUUGUUCAAGAAAAAGGCAAAAGCGAAAACUAUGGAAAUAGUGAAGAACAUUGAAAAUGCUAGAUCGAAGAGACGACCUAAACCGUCAAAGAAAGUGUUGGAGAAUCUGAAAGAUCAAAGAAAGAAAAAGACCAAAAGAAUCCAAAAGAUAAGAAGAAAGAAUCUCCAAAAGCAACAAGACAGUCUCCAAGAAUAAAGUGUUGGAGCAUUUUAUGGUUUCUAUCAGUGAUAGAAACUAUUGACGAUAGACUACACAAUAAUGAUUUUUAUCACAGGUUGAACUAAUUGGUGCAUUUUAUGGUUUCUAUCAGUGAUAGAAACUAUUGACAAUAGACUCACAAUAAUGGUUUUUAUCACAUGUUCAACUAAUUGGUGCAUUUUAUGGUCUCUAACACUUGUAGAAACUAUUAGAGAUAGAUUUUUAUAUGUAUUAGUACUUUACAAAAGGUAGAUUAUUAUUGACUACUUAAAAAAAAAAAAAAAGAAUGUUCUCUAUGCUCAAGCUAAAAGAGUAUUAUAAAAAACAUAAUGUCAUAUCAUUGUAAAAAUGGUGAAAAUUUGCAAUUUCUA